rnacentral:rRNA from 1 species
AUGGACACAUGUGCCACCAACCACAUCACCGGAGAGCUGGAGAAGCUAACUAUGCACGAGAAAUAUCGUGGCUAUGACCAAGUCUACAUGGCAGCAAAUGGUGCAGGCCACGAACAAAGUGUUGGGGAACGUAGCAGAAAUUCAAAAUUUUCUAUGCGUCACCAAGAUCAAUCUAUGGAGAUUCUAGAAACAAGAGAGGGAGAGGAUGAGUGCAUCUUCAUACCCUUGAAGAUCGCGAUGCAGAAGCGUUACAAGAACGCGGAUGAGGGAGUCGUACUCGCGGUGAUUCAAAUCGCGGAAGAUCCGAUCUAA